CCGCAGUGGCGGAGCCAGGGGGUGGCCGGGGGUGGCCACGGCCACCCCCCGUAGAAUCUCGGCCACGCCAUUGGCCACCCCAAGCACCGGAUCACAGCGGUCAAAAGUUUUGACGGCUGUGGAAAAAUGCGGAACCUUUCUCGCACCGCUUGUACACUGACGGACCCUUUAGCCGCGCGCAGCGCGCACACGUCCUGUAUUUGAAUUAAACGGCUCAAGCAUGCCCUGAAUGCCUGUUACCACCUGACGCUUCGACCGGCACCUGCGGCUAAGUGAAGAAACCCAAAACAGAAAGAUUGAUCGAGAGCAGGACAGAAGUGUCCUCCCUGAGGAGUGGCCCCAGUGGAUCCCCAGAUUCCCACAGAAGAUUCAGACAGCGAGAGAGAGGAGCCUCCAACAACGAGUGGCGGCCCAAGGUACCUCCAGACAUUUCCAAAUCAAGAACCGAUAGAUCUUUAAGGACAGUCAUUGAAGUGUUCAGUUUUAAUGAUAUGUCACUGUUUGGAUUCUCUGUCUGAUAUGUGUAAAUGUGGCUCAAACUUGAAACUAAUCUUGCAGAGUCCGCCUAAUACCCAUUGUGAAUAUGAUGUUUGUUAUUAUGUGUUUGAUAGAUGUUUAUGGAUCGAAUUGAAGAAAAAUUGACACUGCUUAUUUAAACAGGCUGUUAAUGCUUGUCAUAUUUACAUUUGUUGGAAUUCAGCUAAUUGUAUUCAGGAUGUUAUUUUAUUUAUUUUCAUAUUUCUAUGCAUUAGCUCAGUAUUUUAUACUUUUUGUUAUUUAAAGAUAAAUCCGUAUUGUGAUCAGACUUGA